GGCGAACGCUGGCGGCGUGCUUAACACAUGCAAGUCGAACGGAAAGGCCCUGCUUGCAGGGUGCUCGAGUGGCGAACGGGUGAGUAACACGUGGGUGAUCUGCCCCUUACUUUGGGAUAAGCCUGGGAAACUGGGUCUAAUACUGGAUAGGACCAUGCUGUAGGUGGUGUGGUGGAAAGAUUAGUUUCGGUAAGGGAUGAGCUCGCGGCCUAUCAGCUUGUUGGUGGGGUAAUGGCCUACCAAGGCGUCGACGGGUAGCCGGCCUGAGAGGGUGGACGGCCACAUUGGGACUGAGAUACGGCCCAGACUCCUACGGGAGGCAGCAGUGGGGAAUAUUGCACAAUGGGCGCAAGCCUGAUGCAGCGACGCCGCGUGGGGGAUGACGGCCUUCGGGUUGUAAACUCCUUUCAGCCAUGACGAAGCCCUUGCGGUGACGGUAGUGGUAGAAGAAGCACCGGCUAACUACGUG
rnacentral:rRNA from 1 species